rnacentral:rRNA from 1 species
UACGUAGGGAGCAAGCGUUGUCCGGAAUUAUUGGGCGUAAAGAGCUCGUAGGCGGUUUGUCGCGUCUGCUGUGAAAACUCGGGGCUUAACCCCGGGCCUGCAGUGGGUACGGGCAGACUAGAGUGCGGUAGGGGAGACUGGAAUUCCUGGUGUAGCGGUGAAAUGCGCAGAUAUCAGGAGGAACACCGGUGGCGAAGGCGGGUCUCUGGGCCGUAACUGACGCUGAGGAGCGAAAGCGUGGGGAGCGAACAGG